rnacentral:lncRNA from 1 species
UUUACUGAAAUCGAUCGUUGGAGGUCUAUUUUUUCAAAAAAAAACAAAAACAAAUGGCAUCUCUCCUCUCCAUGGAUCAGCAUGGGAGUUUAUCGCAGCCUGGUGAAGCAAAAUUCCUGUCACUGUCGGCGCUGCAAGAACUGUCUACCCAUGGACAAAUCUGGCAGAGCUCAACGAAUAUCUUAGUAGCCUAGGAGUAGCACAUACUCAUCACUUUCGUAGUAAUUGGGCCGGCCUUGGCUUAUCAUCCUCUGCUAAUUUAAUGGUUUGCCGCCAAAUUUUUCUUCAGAUCAGGCU